ACCGUGUCUAGGCUGAUCCCCGAAAAUUCGUACACCUCUACGAGCUGGCACGGUUCCUAAAUUAGAGG
rnacentral:ncRNA from 14 species